rnacentral:lncRNA from 1 species
CGCAUGGUAGUGAGUACUAUGAAUGUAGUCGGUACAAGGAGAAUCCUGACAUUGUCAACCAGAGCCAGCAAGCACAGGCCAGGGAGGCCCUCAAGAAGUACUUGUUCUACUUUGAGAGGUGGGAAAAUCACAACAAAAGCUUGCAGCUGGAGGCACAAACAUACCAGCGGAUUCACGAGAAGAUUCAAGAGAGGGUUAUGAACAAUCUGGGAACGUGGAUUGACUGGCAGUACCUGCAGAAUGCCGCCAAGCUGUUGGCCAAGUGUCGAUACACCCUGCAAUAUACCUAUCCAUAUGCAUACUACAUGGAAUCCGGCCCCAGGAAGAAGCUGGCCCUGCCCGGCUACAGCCCUCUCUCCUUUUGACCCUCCUGCUCUGCCCAUACAGUUUGAAUACCAGCAGGCUCAGCUGGAGGCUGAGAUCGAAAACCUUUCAUGGAAAGUUGAGCGUGCAGACAGCUAUGACAGAGGGGACUUGGAAAACCAGAUGCACAUAGCAGAGCAGCGGAGAAGAACCCUGCUAAAGGAUUUUCACGACACCUAAACCGGGCUGUGGAUGUGCCGGGGUGAGGAAGAUGUAGCUGUGAGGCCACCCGGCUACCGAACUGCAUGCUGCAGGCUCUGCCUUUCACGACCCAGGCAACAGCCAGGGCCCCACUCCUGAAAGACACUGGCAACACACCUCUUAGUCCAUUUGUUUUCUUCUCAUCUUUUUGCUUUUUGUUUCUAC